rnacentral:rRNA from 1 species
UAGCCUACGGGAGGCUGCAGUGGGGAAUUUUUCGCAAUGGGGGCAACCCUGACGAAGCAAUGCCGCGUGAAUGAAGAAGGCCUUCGGGUUGUAAAGUUCUUUCGUGGAGGACGAAAAGGUGGGUGCUAAUAUCGCCUGCUGUUGACGUGAAUCCAAGAAGAAGCACCGGCUAACUCCGUGCCAGCAGCCGCGGUAAUACGGGGGGUGCAAGCGUUAAUCGGAAUCACUGGGCGUAAAGGGUGCGUAGGCGGUGCAUUAGGUCUGUCGUGAAAUCCCCGGGCUCAACCUGGGAAUGGCGGUGGAAACCGGUGUACUAGAGUAUGGGAGAGGGUGGUGGAAUUCCAGGUGUAGCGGUGAAAUGCGUAGAGAUCUGGAGGAACAUCAGUGGCGAAGGCGGCCACCUGGCCCAAUACUGACGCUGAGGCACGAAAGCGUGGGGAGCAAACAGGAUUAGAUACCCUGGUAGUCCU